UUUGGCUGGUAGGAUGAGAUCUGAGCCAGAGCUUUAAAUGCUGCCGUUCUGCUCAGACUGUUUCCACUCUGAACCAUUUUUACGAGAUGGGGGGAAGCCCUCACAGCCACAAAGGUUUUGCUGUCAUGUCCAAGAACAAUUUCCCCAAGAAACUUAAUGAGAGAUGGCAUUAAUCCAACACUGCGAACCUGUACCUUAUUGUAUCUUUUCCUCUGGCAGAUAGUUUGCAAAUCUUUUAUUGCUUCCAGUACCAUAUCCUUUGAACUGGCUAAAGACAAAGCUGUCCGUGCAACCUUGAUCCUGGAUGCUUCAUUCCUUUCCAGCCAUUCCUCUAUUGUGGACUUCAGAGCUUUGUUUGUGUUGAAAGCCCUACUCACUAGCUUCUGCCCUGUGACUGGGCAGAAAAUGUCUGAUUUUUCAAACUUCUCAAACCAUUUAGUAAUUUCAUUCCUUUCAUAGGUUACUCCGGUUUCUAUGGUGACUGGAUUGUCCAUGAUCUUCUUUCCUAGUGGGCAAAAGAAAGUUUCAUAAAGAGGCUCCAUAUACUGAGUCGCCUGUGGCAAUGUGGUUAAGGAUCUGUUCAGGUUUCCAGGUUUUCUAGUGAUGUCAGAACUUGUGCUCCUUAAUGCCUCAAUUUUUUGAGGCAUAUUCAAGAACUGAUGAUCGUUUAUAGAAACAUCAACAUUAAUGGGAUAGAGAUCUGUCUCUUGUGGUGCUGGUUCCUCCUUCAGUUGCUUCUCCAAAGACAAUGUCCUUGUAUCAUGCUGCUUGGUCUUAACUGCAAGAGUUUGGCCAAUUCCAAAUUGGGCAUUCUGCAUCUCAUUUGAUAAUGACCAGAUAGCAACUUUAACAUAUUCUUGGUCUCCAAAUGUGGAAGAUGGUAUCAAGCUCAGGGAUUCUCCUGUGUGAUUUAUCACCCCCUCAAGCUGUGCUAUAAUGCUUCCUUGUUCAUUAUCUGAAAUUGCGUUAAUGAUUUCUUGGCAUCUCUUCACAAGAUCCUUGGCCAAGUCAACGUUUAGGGAUAGUGUUUGUAGAAUCUCUAUUGCAUUUUCUGGUGAAUUCUCUGCUUUGAGCAACUCCAUUAUGGCCAGAGAAGCCCUGUAAAGGUAGCAUCCAAAUUCAAUGAAGUUUUCAUGUUCUUUCUCUAUGCAUACAACUGCUGUCAUAAUCUCUGAAAUGGAUGCCAACAAGGACUCUGCAAGAUUUACAAUUGGCGUUGCAUCUUCCUUCAGCUGUAUAAAUGAAUGACAAAUUAUUAAACAUUCACUGUACCCAUCAGUCUUCAGGUUAAGGAACCUAUUUUUACAAAGGCAGUGAUAAGAUUCCCCAAUUCUGUCUUCACUCAAUUCAAACAAGGUCAGGUAUAGGUUCCCCACUAAUGGUACAUUGUGCUAAAAGCAUAUUUGUAACUUGUGUUCUUCAGAAAUUAAAAAAAUAAUUAAUCUAAUACAGAUCAAGAUCAGAACUUCAUGUAAAAAAGUCCAAAAAUUCACAACACAAACUGGCAUGACACAAAAUAUUUAAACGGAUGUAUAAGUUCCAUAAGUUAGCUAUUAGUAUUUCAGAUAUGUGGGAUUUUAUCUUUAAUGAUGUUUUCUGAAUUUCACAAGUUGACAAACUUAAAAGACAAGAAUACUAUAAUUACUAUAUGUCUAUCCUUGUAGGACAGUAAUAUGCUUUCAAAUUUAUUUUCAGUGAUUGGGAAUGAGACUUGCUUGCAGCCUCUUAGUUAUUCACUGUAAGCUCAUUAACUUCUGAAAAUCUACAAAGAUCAUGUGAUUAGUGCAGUGUAGUAAAUACACUAUUCACAGUUCAAAUUAUAUGAAAUUGAGAAUCAUGAAAAUUUGGGAAUUCUCCCCACCAAGGAGAUAUAUGAGAUAUGAAGGUUAGUCGCUCCUAUUACUGCACUAAAACACCUGUAGAUAUUAUAUGAGAUGUGCUUUAGCUACUCAGAGUAGUUCAAAAUGAAUUCUCUCAUAAGACUCAGCUUAAUCAUGCUAAUGUCACUUUAAAAAAAAAUGCAUACAGAAACUAUGUUGCCUAUAGAAUUCAUCUAGAUAACAUCAACAAUAAGCUUAUAAGAACUUCAACCCUAUAAACUAAUUCAUACAUUCUACAAUCUUUAUCUCUACGAAAGGCUCAUCAACAUUGAGAGCAUCAUUGAGCUUUCAUACUGAGGUUCACAUAAAAGGAAAAGGAAAAAAGUUCUGAAAAGCUCCUACCGACAUCCAAUUGUAGCUGCUCUCACAAGACCUUCUGGUUUAUGAGCACCCAAUCUUGCAAAACCUGGACUGGUAACUUUCAUUAGGAGGAGAAGACAAUUAAAAGAAAGGGGUUUCAGCUAACCAUCACUUUCACGCUAGUGUUGGUCAAUGGCGGAUUUGGUCUGUUUUCCAGCUCCAAUUUUGUAACUUUUUUUGCUAUUCUAGAAUAAUUAUAUUAUUCAAGGUGACCAAUCAAUUUCCAUUGGAGAUAAUCUAGACUGCUAUGUUUUUGAAAGUCAUGGCAAACAAUCUACACUUAGAACCAUGUCAGUCCCUUGCAAACAAUUAGCAGCAUUCCUAUCAAUAUUAAGCCUCAGUUGAUUGAAUUUCUGAAGUUAUUCUACCCA